rnacentral:rRNA from 1 species
AACCGGUUUCGGCCGGGGAUUAGUGGCGAACGGGUGAGUAACACGUGGGCAAUCUGCCCUGCACUCUGGGACAAGCCCUGGAAACGGGGUCUAAUACCGGAUAUGACGCGUUCCCGCAUGGGAUACGUGUGGAAAGCUCCGGCGGUGCAGGAUGAGCCCGCGGCCUAUCAGCUUGUUGGUGGGGUGAUGGCCUACCAAGGCGACGACGGGUAGCCGGCCUGAGAGGGCGACCGGCCACACUGGGACUGAGACACGGCCCAGACUCCUACGGGAGGCAGCAGUGGGGAAUAUUGCACAAUGGGCGCAAGCCUGAUGCAGCGACGCCGCGUGAGGGAUGACGGCCUUCGGGUUGUAAACCUCUUUCAGCAGGGAAGAAGCGUGAGUGACGGUACCUGCAGAAGAAGCGCCGGCUAACUACGUGCCAGCAGCCGCGGUAAUACGUAGGGCGCAAGCGUUGUCCGGAAUUAUUGGGCGUAAAGAGCUCGUAGGCGGCUUGUCGCGUCGGAUGUGAAAGCCCGGGGCUUAACUCCGGGUCUGCAUUCGAUACGGGCAGGCUAGAGUUCGGUAGGGGAGAUCGGAAUUCCUGGUGUAGCGGUGAAAUGCGCAGAUAUCAGGAGGAACACCGGUGGCGAAGGCGGAUCUCUGGGCCGAUACUGACGCUGAGGACGAAAGCUGGGGGAAAAAAAAAAAAAAAAAAAAAAG